ensembl:misc_RNA predicted gene, 27804
CUUAGGCCUGCCCCAGCCUUGUGUACCUCUGCUGAAUUGAUGUGGCUGAAAAAGAAAAACAACUUCCUAAAAUGCCUGUCUGAUAACCCCUCAGUACAGUUCCAGGUCUACUC